GGGCCAUUAGCUCAGGUGGUUAGAGCGCACCCCUGAUAAGGGUGAGGUCCCUGGUUCAAAUCCAGGAUGGCCCA
rnacentral:tRNA from 2 species